rnacentral:rRNA from 1 species
GAUGAACGCUGGCGGCGUGCCUAACACAUGCAAGUCGAAUGGAACUUUUGAGGAUUGAGGCUUCGGCCGAUUGAUACUUAAGUUUAGUGGCGGACGGGUGAGUAACGCGUGAGUAACCUGCCUUUCACAGGGGGAUAACGUUUGGAAACGAACGCUAAUACCGCAUGACAUGUUUUUAUCGCAUGGUAGAAACAUCAAAGAUUUUAUCGGUGAAAGAUGGACUCGCGUCCGAUUAGGUAGUUGGUGAGGUAACGGCCCACCAAGCCGACGAUCGGUAGCCGGACUGAGAGGUUGAACGGCCACAUUGGGACUGAGACACGGCCCAG